rnacentral:rRNA from 1 species
UACGUAGGGUGCAAGCGUUAAUCGGAAUUACUGGGCGUAAAGCGUGCGCAGGCGGUUUGUAAGUCUGUCGUGAAAUCCCCGGGCUCCAACCUGGGAAUGCGAUGGAGACUGCAAGGCUAGAAUCUGGCAGAGGGGGUAGAAUUCCACGUGUAGCAGUGAAAUGCGUAGAGAUGUGGAGGAACACCGAUGGCGAAGGCGGCUAUCUGGACGGUUACUGA